CUGGGAUAUGGGGCUUCAUGUAUGUGCUUAAAGUGUCAUCCCAGACUAGCCUGUGCAGAUUGCACAUACAUUAAGUCCUAUUAAAUUGUCAUCCCAGAUAAGCCUGUGCAGAUUGCACAUACAGUAAGUCCUAUUAAAGUGUCAUCCCAGAAUAUCCUGUGCAGACUGCACAUACAUUAAGUCCUAUUGUUUCCCAGAAUGUGGCUCAUAUAGUUCACUUUACAUCAGUAUUUUCCGUUGUCUGCCUGAUUGAGGAAAAGUUCAUAGCAUCAAAUGGGAAUUCUGUGUCUUUAUAUUGAUCAAACUUGGUAAAUGAAUGCAAAUAACACUGGAUUUAAUAUAAGUUUUAAUCUUAGUAUGUCAGGGCAUAGUUUGUCUAUUUUGCGGCCGAAAUUCAGCUCCUGAACCAAAAGUUUCUCCAUGCAUGAAAACUUUUCUAUUCCAUUUUAGUAAAACAAUUAUUUAAAUGCUUUCAGUACAUUAUAAAAUUAUUGUCUUCAUUAUUUUUCGAUAUUUAUUUAAAUUCUUGGAAUCUGUUUUAAGAGCCGGUUCCUACAGGACCCGAUGCACUGAUUAUGCACAUGUGACUCUUGUACGCAGCUGAAUAAAAGGCUCUCUGGUCAGCUGGACCCAGACGCCAAGGGACACUUCCUGCCCAAGUACCGUGAGGCAAAUGCUCAAUGAGUUCUACCCGAAGUGUGCAGCGUCUCUAGACCUGUGGCUCCAGACUGUCUUACCCAGGGGCCAAGAUUACUUUAUCUGCAAGAUGCCUCAUACUCACAGGUUCCCCAACUACAACUCAGCCACAACAUCCUAAUCGGAAAGUCCUGUUGCCAUGGCAAAACGGGACAACUUGUCAAUCAACAUGGAACAGUACCCUGAAAAUCACGACCAUCUAAAGAACUGUGUAACUGUGCCAAGCGUGACCCUUUAGAGAAAGGGGCUUCCAUGCCGAAGGUCAAAUUGUGGCCGUUGUUCAGUGUCAAGCGAAAUCCUAGCAACCAAGCCACGUCAGCACAGCAGCAAAAACAGUUUCAGCAGCAGUCGUAUACUAAACAUCAACAACAGUGGUGCAUAUGCAUUAAACUACGAGAGGUAUGAAUGCAAAUAUGUCUGUAUGAUAUUAGUAUAUUCUCAACCAUUUAAUAUUAAC